rnacentral:rRNA from 1 species
UACGUAGGGGGCAAGCGUUGUCCGGAAUCAUUGGGCGUAAAGCGCGUGUAGGCGGUUCGAUAAGUCCGCUGUGAAAACUCGAGGCUCAACUUCGAGCUGUCGGUGGAAACUUUCUGGCUAGAGUCCGGAAGAGGAGAAUGGAAUUCCUGGUGUAGCGGUGAAAUGCGCAGAUAUCAGGAAGAACACCCGUGGCGAAGGCGGUUCUCUGGGACGGUACUGACGCUGAGACGCGAAAGCGUGGGGAGCGAACAGG